ACGGGAUUAGAUACCCCGGUAGUCCACGCUGUAAACGAUGUGAACGAGGUGUGGGCAGUGUAGAAGCCGUCUGUGCCGGAGCAAACGCGAUAAGUUCACCGCCUGGGGAGUACGGUUGCAAGGCUAAAACCCAAAGGAAUUGACGGGGGCCCGCACAAGCAGCGGAGCGUGUGGUUUAAUUCGAUGCAACGCGAAGAACCUUACCUGGGCUUGACAUGUACGUAGUAGUGAAGGGAAACCGGAACGAGCCUUCGGGCAGCGUAGACAGGUGCUGCAUGGCUGUCGUCAGCUCGUGUCGUGAGAUGUUGGGUUAAGUCCCGCAACGAGCGCAACCCGUGUUGCUAGUUACAAGUGUCUAGCGAGACUGCCGGUAACAAGCCGGAGGAAGGUGCGGAUGAUGUCAAGUCAGCAUGGCCUAUAUGUCAGGGCUACACACACGCUACAAUGGCUGGUACAAAGAGAAGCGAAAGGGAGACCUGAAGCGAAUCUCAUCAAAGCCAGUCAUAGUUCGGAUUGCAGGCUGCAACUCGCCUGCAUGAAGUCGGAGUUGCUAGUAACCGCAGGUCAGCAAUACUGCGGUGAAUACGUUCCCGGGCCUUGUACACAC
rnacentral:rRNA from 1 species